CUAAUACCGGAUAAUUCUUUUCCUCUCAUGAGGAGAAGCUAAAAGAUGGUUUCGGCUAUCACUUACAGAUGGGCCCGCGGCGCAUUAGCUAGUUGGUGAGGUAACGGCUCACCAAGGCAACGAUGCGUAGCCGACCUGAGAGGGUGAUCGGCCACACUGGGACUGAGACACGGCCCAGACUCCUACGGGAGGCAGCAGUAGGGAAUCUUCCGCAAUGGACGAAAGUCUGACGGAGCAACGCCGCGUGAGUGAUGAAGGUUUUCGGAUCGUAAAACUCUGUUGUUAGGGAAGAACAAGUACCGGAGUAACUGCCGGUACCUUGACGGUACCUAACCAGAAAGCCACGGCUAACUACGUGCCAGCAGCCGCGGUAAUACGUAGGUGGCAAGCGUUGUCCGGAAUUAUUGGGCGUAAAGCGCGCGCAGGCGGUCCUUUAAGUCUGAUGUGAAAGCCCACGGCUCAACCGUGGAGGGUCAUUGGAAACUGGGGGACUUGAGUGCAGAAGAGAAGAGUGGAAUUCCACGUGUAGCGGUGAAAUGCGUAGAGAUGUG
rnacentral:rRNA from 1 species